rnacentral:lncRNA from 1 species
AACAAGAUCGCAGACGACAUGUGGUGUUGUGAAUGUAGCAGGCUUAUGCUGAGGAGCUAGAGGAAAAGUGGUGGAAGUAUUGAGAUGCUUUUGGCUUGGAAUGAAUUCUGAGUCAUGUUGCGGUGCAUGAACAACAGUAGAAAACUGACUUUGAGAUUUUGGUGGAAAACUUGAGGUAUUUGUCGGAUCAAUAAAGGGAAAUGGAGGAGGAGG